rnacentral:tRNA from 1 species
GUUUCUGUAGUGUAAUGGUUAUCACAUCCGCCUCACACGCGGAAGGUCGCAGGUUCGAGCCCUGCAAGAAACA